UUUAAAUUGAGAGUUUGAUCCUGGCUCAGGAUGAACGCUGGCGGCGUGCUUAACACAUGCAAGUCGAGCGAUGAAGUUUCCUUCGGGAAAUGGAUUAGCGGCGGACGGGUGAGUAACACGUGGGUAACCUGCCUCAUAGAGUGGAAUAGCCUUCCGAAAGGAAGAUUAAUACCGCAUAAUGUUGAAAGAUGGCAUCAUCAUUUAACCAAAGGAGCAAUCCGCUAUGAGAUGGACCCGCGGCGCAUUAGCUAGUUGGUGGGGUAACGGCCUACCAAGGCGACGAUGCGUAGCCGACCUGAGAGGGUGAUCGGCCACAUUGGGACUGAGACACGGCCCAGACUCUUACGGGAGGCAGCAGUGGGGAAUAUUGCACAAUGGGGGAAACCCUGAUGCAGCAACGCCGCGUGAGUGAUGAAGGUUUUCGGAUCGUAAAGCUCUGUCUUUGGGGAAGAUAAUGACGGUACCCAAGGAGGAAGCCACGGCUAACUACGUGCCAGCAGCCGCGGUAAUACGUAGGUGGCGAGCGUUAUCCGGAUUUACUGGGCGUAAAGGGAGCGUAGGCGGAUGAUUAAGUGGGAUGUGAAAUACCCGGGCUCAACUUGGGUGCUGCAUUCCAAACUGG
rnacentral:rRNA from 1 species